GAUUCUUCCCAAUUCUACCGCCACCAUUCUGGUUCAAGCUACCUGUAGAGACGGGGUUUCACCAUGUUAGCCAGGAUGGUCUCGAUCUUCUGACCUCGUGAUCCAUCUGCCUCAGCCUUCCAAAGUUCUGGGAUUACAGACGUGAGCCACCACGCCCGGCCAAAAGAUCCAUAAACUUUGAGUCACCAGAUGGAGCUAACAUUUACCACAGAGGUCCAGCUUUGACUUUACCUGGUUUUUUAUAGAAUGCUACAACUCCCUCUAGAAGCUUCUCUUGAUAAGGUAAAACAUGCACAGAGCAAAUUUCGGUUGUAUCCUAGAAAUGAUAGCCAUAUUCAGGAUACUGGUUACACCUGACGAAACAUCUCCAUGAAAGUUAAGCAUACACAGGAUCUCACUUUGUUACCCAGGCUAGAUAGAGUGCAAUGGUGUGACCACAGCUCACUGAAGCCUCAACCUCCUGAGCUCACUUUUAAGCAAUCCUCUCACUUCGGCCUCCUGAGUAGCUGGGCCUACAGGCAUGUACCAACACUCCCAGCAAGUUUUUCUUAUUUUUUGUGAAGACAGAGUCUUGCAGUAUUGCCCAAGCUGGACUUGAACUCCUGGCCUCAAGCAAUCCUCCCAUCUAGGCCUCCCAAAGUGCUAGGAUUACAGGCAUGAGCCACUGUGCCAAGCAACACUUGCAGUUUUUAAGUGAAAAUGAUCCUGUAAAUAUACAUAUGAAUAAA
rnacentral:antisense_RNA from 1 species